UGGGGAAUUUUGGACAAUGGGGGCAACCCUGAUCCAGCAACGCCGCGUGUGUGAAGAAGGCCUUCGGGUUGUAAAGCACUUUUGUCCGGAAAGAAAUCCCUUGCCCUAAUACGGCGGGGGGAUGACGGUACCGGAAGAAUAAGCACCGGCUAACUACGUGCCAGCAGCCGCGGUAAUACGUGGGGUGCGAGCGUUAAUCGGAAUUACUGGGCGUAAAGCGUGCGCAGGCGGUUUUGUAAGACAGGCGUGAAAUCCCCGAGCUCAACUUGGGAAUGGCGCUUGUGACUGCAAGGCUAGAGUAUGUCAGAGGGGGGUAGAAUUCCACGUGUAGCAGUGAAAUGCGUAGAGAUGUGGAGGAAUACCGAUGGCGAAGGCAGCCCCCUGGGACGUCACUGACGCUCAUGCACGAAAGCGUGGGGAGCAAACAGGAUUAGAUACCCUGGUAGUCCACGCCCUAAACGAUGUCAACUAGUUGUUGGGGAUUCAUUUCUUCAGUAACGUAGCUAACGCGUGAAGUUGACCGCCUGGGGAGUACGGUCGCAAGAUUA
rnacentral:rRNA from 1 species